rnacentral:rRNA from 1 species
AUACGGAGGGUGCAAGCGUUACUCGGAAUCACUGGGCGUAAAGCGCGCGCAGGCGGCUUGAUAAGUUGGAUGUGAAAGCCUACGGCUCAACCGUCGAACUGCAUCCAAAACUGUCAAGCUAGAGUGUGGGAGAGGAAGAUGGAAUUAGUUGUGUAGGGGUAAAAUCCGUAGAGAUAACUAGGAAUACCAAAAGCGAAGGCAAUCUUCUGGAACACUACUGACGCUGAGGCGCGAAGGCGUGGGGAGCAAACAGGAUUAGAAACCCCUGUAGUCC